rnacentral:lncRNA from 1 species
UCUCCCUUCCAGAGUCCCAUUUAACCCUGCUGUGGCCUCCAAAUGGCACCCAAGGAGCUUCAUGCCAGCAUUCACACCUGUGUAGCCCCAUUUCACACCUAACAGAGAGGACCUGUGUUACCACAGGUAAUGCAGAAUGAUGGUAUUAAGGACAUUGCAGCUUCCGCCUUGUGUGGUCUGAUCUCCCAUUCUGGAGUAAGAUAGCACUGUGUCCUGAGGGCAGAGGGGCAGCCCUUUGAGACCCCAGGUGAGGCAGAGCCGGCCUGGAAGUCACCCUUAGGCCCUCAGCCUGACCCACACCAUGCCUGCGGUCUCGUGGGAGACCUUGAGCCAGCACCACCCCGCUGAAGUGCUCCUGAAUCUCAGCCUGCAGAAACUGUGUGAGAUAACCUGUGUUGAUUGUUGUCUAAGCCUCUAAAGGCCGGAUGAGUGUUAGGCAACAAUGGAUAACUAGUAGACCUGGACUUGUGUGGUUCGGGGUCCUAGAUGCUAAAAAUCUGGUUUUAUGCUUGGAUUUAAACCUACCUCUGCCUCUGCCCCGUCGGAGGUCCUUGGCAUUUCCUCCCGGGUUAGGACACCUAGCCCCAGGCAUCUCCUCUCAUGACCUUUACCAAUGUGGUGACAGUUCAGAUGAAGGUCCUUGGCAUGAACAGGAGUUGUAAGGAUGGAUAUAGUGACUCGGUGAUUGAAUACUAAACCCAAAUUUAAAAUAAACGUGGGUCAUUUGGUCCUAUAAUCUUUGAAAAAGCAAUUAUGUAUAACGGCAGAAGGUUUCAGCUGGAUGUCAGAUUAUACGGAUCUAAGAGUCAGUAGGAGGCCAGAAGAGUGGGAACUAUUCUUUUCAAUGUGAUGGUGGGAAGCGAAAACAGAGGGCUCUUUUUUUGUUUCUUGGUUGGUUUGUUUACUAAGGCAUGGAGAGGUGAGCUUGUGUUGUGGGAAUAAGAGAAGGGAUUCGUGGGAGGAGAUUGAAAAUGCAAUCUAGAGAGGGUCAUGGGUGGAGAGGGGUGCAGAAAGAUGGGGGUCAGCUUGACUCUUGUGGUUUCCCUGAACUCUGCCUCAUUCUAGAGAUAACUGGGGUGAACUGGUGUCUCAGUGGGACUGUGGAAUCCACAGGUGCAGAAUGAGGUGCUUGUCCAGCUGAGGUGGGUCUUCCUGGAGUUGGAAGCAUGGAUGUACAGGAAGCCCUGUCACCAAGGCUGGCAAUUCCACCUGAGGAUCAACUCGAGAAGUGGCCAUCAGAAACCUGUGACGAUGAACCCGUGGCUCUCCUUUUGCCUGCUGCACCCCAAGUGUGGGGACUGUACUUGGCACACAAUAGGCAUUUAAUGCACAUUGAAUGGAUGAAGUCUGAAUGUGGUUGCUCAGAGUUGGUGAUUACCGAAGUCAGAAUGGAGGGAGGUCAAGGGGCUGUGUCUUGAGGGAAGAAGGAAGAACCUCGUGGCAAUGGCUGAACUGGGAAUCCAGAGGUAAACUGAUCCAGCAUGGGGGAGGGAGGCUUAGGGUCUGGAGAUGAUUUAAUAAGAGUAGCAGGGCCCGAGAGGGAGGCAGCAGGAAUGUGGCUGGAGGAGCCUCCAGGAGCCCUCUGCCAGGGUCGUGAGAACCCAUGGGCUGGGGCCAGGGAGAUGAGAGGUGGAGGCUGGGACCAUGGUGUCCUCUUCUUAAUCAAAAGCUGAUGCAUUUUGUUUCCUCUUGAAGGUCUCAGAGUCCCCACAAAUCCCUGCCUUGUUCACAACAGUUGGGGCUUUGUGCUUCUCUCUGAAAUAAAACUUUUAUCUUAAAAAAAGAAAAGAGAAUGUAUCCAAUAUAGUAUAUCAUAAUCACAGUAUUGGGAACUUUCCCAACCCUGGUGGGAAGGAGGAGGAAGUCGUGGGUUCACUGGGGCACAGGAAAAAAAUGCCAGAGAUGUCCACCCCUAAUUUUUUUCCUCUCCUCUUCUGGGUUUCUGUUGUAAUGGAUUGAAAAUACACAGGAGAUGUAAUGCAAAACUUGGCUUUGAUUUUUUUUUCCCACCUAACUCUUUAAAGGUUUGGAAAGAUUUGAUUACAUGGCAGGGAAAGUAAAAAUGUGGAUGAGAUAUCCUGACGCUCAGGCCACAUGACCAGGUGAUAAGGCGUUCAGAGACUGCCAGCGGCAGCUGCUGGCUCAGGUGCGGCCUGUGUGGGAGGACUCGUGUCUCGGUGGUUACAGAGAAGCUGGCUUCCACGGUGUGAACCCGACUGAAUCACAGGCCGCUUUUUUGUUCUCCCUCGGCCUUGGAGGGCCUGGGACGUUCCUGUUGCCCAACAUCCUGAAUAACAGAGUACACCAGUCAUCAUAAGAAGAAAAAUUCACAUUUAAAGUUUGGAAAGCAACAGGACAAAGGUCUGUCUUCAGUGGUGCGUAGACAUGCUCGUGAUUGAAUUGGAAAUAGUUCUCUUUCCUUCUCUCUGACUUCCUAACUGAAAAGCUGCAGCGUGGGGAGAAAGGCUGCUCAGAAGCCUGGAGCCAGAACACGCACCCCGGCUUUUGCAGGGCCGGCUCACUUGGUUAGAAUCAAAGGAAAAGCCUUGUUAUUUGGGAAGCUGGGCGUCCUCACCAAAUUAGGGGAUUUAAUUUGCAGAUAUCUAAGGAGUGCUUUGAAAUGAAAGAUGAACUAAAAUCUGCUCUGAGGCCCGUGAUUUUUCACCAGUGAAGGACUCUCUUGCUGCUGGACAUACAUGAAAAGCAUCAUCUGAUCUGAAACGCAAGUCCCUGCAAGACAGAGGAGAGACUUUAUAAACAUUUUAUACCAUUCUAUGAAAUCAAUUCGAUUCAGGGCUAGAAUUCAAGAAGUAAUCCAUGGGCAAGUAUAUCUGAUGGUAAACCCAAACGAUUAUAUUGUUAACCUCUUGUACUUUUUUUAAUUUUUUAUUAUUUGAUAUUAUUAUCACAAAAGUCGCUGGAACAGGAUCCAUGAGCUGCUUCUUCACUGCUUAGUGUUUUCAGAAGCUGAUGGAUUAUUAAGCUCCAAUUGAAUACUUGAUUUCCAAUGAUUCCAUUAAUUUUUCUGGUUUGUGGUAGGAUUUGAUUUACUUAUUUUGUACUUUAACACACCAAUAAAAAAUAGAUACUAAGAAAUAGUGAAAUUUGUUGCUUCAAAAUAACCCUUAAAAUUUAGAGUUUAGUGAAAUUAAGCAAUUCAAAUAGAGAAACGAUUAUCCUUCAUUUCCUUAAGGCACAGAAAUUGAGACUAGGUUCAAGAACCUUCAUAUUUUAAAAACUGGAAAAUACUGGCUAAGUGAGGACUGGGCGGUCAUCCUCCACACAUGCUCUGUGUGCUUGGAGCGAAGAGGGGAACGCACUGAAUGAGAUGAACUGGAAGGAGGUGCAGCAGCGAAGGAAAUCCUUCUGUUGGGAGAGUUCACGUGUUUAGGAUAAUCCUUCGAAUAGGACGCAACAGUGAUGUGAGGAGAAGCUUUGGAGCUGAUUUAGAUUGAGACAGUCUAUCACAGGCUGUUUGGUUGCAUCCCUUUGGGGCCAGUCUCAUUUUAGGUCUAAAUAUGCAGGAAUGGGGCUCUGGCUUCCAGAAGUUUCAGGCUGCAAAAGGCUGGGGCCACCAUCUUUACAGAUAAUCCAUUAGUUUGAUUCUCUUGGGGGCCAGGAAGAAAACCAAGAACACUCAAUGGACUAUGGGACUCAAAUAAUCCACAGGAGGCGUUUGUAAAGGGGCAAAACUGUGUGUGCCCAGUAAUUCUUGGAGCUCGCAAUAGAGGUGGAGAAGCAGUGAUGGGCCCCACAGCAGCAGGGGCUUGGGAAUGACGGAAAAGAACAAAAUGAUGGAAGGACAGCUGGAAGAAACAGGGAAGCUUCCUUUUAACUGGAUGCUGGGUCUCAGCCUUGAAUAGUUCCUGGCCUUCGGAGGCCUUUUCUCAGGGAGCAUGGCCUGGGGACUCCCUGCUUGCUCUGCUGAGCUUUCAGGGAAGGAGAAAUGGGCAAGGCCAGAGGCGACCAUCAGGUGCUCCGUAGGCACAGAGGCAGAACUCAAGGUUUAGCUUUACCUUAAGAGGGUGACUGCAAAGUGUGCUCCCUGGACCAGGGGCCUCGGCCUCACCUGGGAGCUUGCUAAAAAUGCAAGUUGCUCUCACCCAGACUGAAUCUAAAAUUCUGGGUACAGCCCAGCAAUCUCUGCUCACACUUUCUCCAGAUGAUUCUGGUGCAAGCUAACCUUUCAAAAGUCCUGGGUCCCAUUCCCAGAGGCUGUGAUUAAGUUGGUCUAGGGCUGUGGCCUAGACCUGGGGAUUUUGGAAGCCCACAGGUGAUUCUGUUGUGCAGCCAUGGUUGGCAGGCUGUUCACGGUGCUGUUCAACAGGUCCUGCUGUGGGAUGGAAAGGGUCUGUAUCUGCACUGGCCAAUGUGGGAGCCAGCCCUGUGGCUAUUGAGCACUUGGCCCCUGGCUAGUGCAACUGAGGAGCUGAAUUUUUCAUUUCAUUUACUUUUAAUUAAGUUUAAAUAGCUAAAUGUGGCUAUUGUCUGCCUUAUUGGAUAGCAGAGUUCUAGAACCACAGAUAAAUGUAAUACUGUCCCUUUAGUUGAUUUAAAAAUCCAAUGCCUCUGUAAUCCUAGCACUUUGGGAGGCCAAGGUGGGCUGAUCACGAGGUCAAGAGAUCGAGACCAUUCUUGCCAACAUGGUGAAACCCCGUCUCUACUAAAAAUACAAAAAUUAGCCGGGCAUGGUGGCAGGCACCUGUAAUCCCAGCUACUCGGGAGGCUGAGGCAGGAGAAUCACUUGAACCCACGAGGCGGAGCUUGCAGUGAGCCAAGAUUGCACCACUGCACUCCAGCCUGGUGACAGACGGAGAUUCUGUCUCAAAAAAAAAUGCCUCACAGAGUUAAAUAUUUAAGUUGAUAAGAAAAAUGGUAGUCGAGUCUUUGAGGAUUAUUUUAAAAUCCACUUUUGGUGAUAAAUAGAUAAAAACAGUGUGGUAGGGCCCAGAAGUUCUUCCUGAUUUCUACCUGUUGGAGCUGAAUUCCUCAAUUUUACUUGUAGGAGAACGGCUUCCUAAAGGGCACCUUACCCAGCCAUUCCUGCAUGCAAGUGUGUAUGAGAACUGCAGGGGGCAUUAUAUGAAAAUCCAAUUCCUGGGCUCUAUCCCAGAUGUUCCUAUCCAAUAGGUCUGGGUUGGGGCCCUGGAAACUGCAUUUUUGGCAAACCCCUUACUGAUUUGGAUGCACAAGUUUCAAGGAACAGGCACUAAGGAUCGCUGAUGUAGAAUCUGUUUGUCCAUCCAGGAAAGCCAGAGUCACCACACUUGAGUAAAUGGGUUUUGAUGUAGGAAAGGUCUUUAUAAUUCUUUCAUGAAUUCACCAAACUUUAAAAACUGUACUAUUUUUGGCUGGGCUUGGUGGCUCACGCCUGUAAUCUCAGCACUUUGGGGGCCAAGGCGGGUGGAUCAUGAGGUCAGGAGAUCGAGACCAUCCUGGCUAACACGGUGAAAACCUGUCUCUACGAAAAAUACAAAAAAAAAAAAUUAGCCGGGCGUGGUGGCGGGUGCCUGUAGUCCCAGCUACUCAGGAGGCUGAGGCAGGAGAAUGGCGUGAACCCGGGAGGCGGAGCUUGCAGUGAGCCGAGUUCGCACCACUGCACUCCAGCCUGGGUGACAGAGCGAGACUCUGCCUCAAAAAAAAAAAAAAAAGCGGUAGUAUUUUCAAGACUGUGCUAAGCUGGAGGAGAAAUCGGUGAACAGGGUUCAGUGCCUCCCUUUAACUAAUAACAUAAAUACACUUCGUGUUGCUGUGUAGUUAAUAUUCGCAGCUGCUGAAGGUGCUGCAAUUCACCGGGUGACUGCUGAAAACUCCAAUCAGUGCCUGACUUAUGUUCCUUUCCACACUGCACAGGAAGGGCCUUUUUGGGUAGUGUCUACAGCUGUUAACUGUUUGUGGGCUCAGCCUUCAGAUGCUGUGUUACAGAAAGCCCUUACCGCAAUCCUAAAUGCUGCUUCUUUUAUUAAUGGUACUGUCAUUUAUUUAGGGCCUCCUGUAUGUUAGGCAAUCCACAAACAUUGCACAUAGCAUGAAUGUAUUGUUCAAACUGAAAUAUUUUUGAAAGUAAAUGGGGACAAAUUAAAAAUUCUUUCAGGACAGCAAAACUGUGGGACACACUGGGAGGUACUGUCACCUUAAUUAGACAUCAUCAUUACUGGGGGAAUGAGAAUUAUGAGGUCACACAGCUAGGAAGGGGCCAAGGCCCCAGCAUAGGUCUGUCUAAUUCUAUCCUGGGUUGAAUUCUGUGCCCCAAAAUUCAUGUCUACCCAGAAACUCAUAAUUUGACCUUAUUUGGAAAUACGGUCUUUGAAGACAUAAUUAAUUAAGAUGAGGUCAUAUUGUCCACUGCCUGGCUAAGUAUUGAAGGUGUGUCCCAACCUGCACAGGGUCCAUUGGCAAAACCUGGGAGACUUACCGAUUCCAAGUAGUUAAGGAAAUCUCUAAUUAUUAGCUGAUUUCUAAGCUAACUAAGGAGAGACUUCAGUGGCUAUACAUGACAAAGAAUAGAGACUUUACAGAAUUAGUUCAGAAAAGUCACUAAAGAAACAAUUAGCUAUACCUAUAACAAACAACAACAAAUCCUCAAGAGGGGAAAAAUAUUUCCAGAAUUGUCACAUUAUAUUAUCUAAAAUACCUAGUUUUAAAUACAAAAUUAUGAGACAUGCAAAGAAACAAGAAAAUAUUACUCAUUCACAGGAUAGGAACUGUCCCUGAGGAAGCUUAGACAUUGGGCUUACUCAACAAAAACUUUGAAUCAGCUAUUUUAAAUAGAUUCAAAGAACUAAAGAAAACCAUGUCUAAAGGUCUAAGGAAGGGAUGAUAAUGCUGUUUCAAGAAACAGAGAAUAUUAAAAGUGACAUAUAAAUUAUAAAGAAGAAUCAAAUAGAAAUUCUGGAGUUAAAAAGUACAGUAAUGGAAAUACAAAAUUUGCCAAAAGAAAGUCUUAACAGCAUACUUGAGCAACAAAAGAAGCAAAUUUGAAGGUAUGUCUAUAGAGAUUACAUAGCCAGAAGAAAAGAAAUUAAAAGAAUAAAGAAAAGACAAGGAGCCUCAGAGACCUGUGUGACAACUUUAAGCAUAAAAAUAUAUGCAUAAUGGGAAUCCAAGAAGGAGUAAAGAGAAAGAGGCUGAAUGAAUAUUGGAAUAAAUAAUGACCAAAAUCUUCCCAAACCGGUUGAAAGACAUAAAUCUGUACAUCCAAGAAGUUUGAUAAACUCCAAGUAGAAUAAACUCAAACAGAUCCACAUCAAGACACAUCAUAAUGAAACUUUCAAAAGAUAAAGACAAAGAGAGAAUCUUGAAAGCAGCAAGAGAGAAGCAACUCCUCAUGUAUAAGCAAUUCUCAAUAAAAUUUAUAGCUCAUUUCUCAUCAGAAGGAAAUCCUUCAGGGUAAGAUGAAGGUAUCCUAGAAAAUAAAUUGAAUCCACACAAAGAAUAAAAGAACACUGAUAAAAGUAUCUACAAAAGUAAACAUAUAAGACAGUUAUUAAUGUAAUUUUUGUUUGUAACUUCUCUCUUUUUUUUCUUUAUUUUGUAUUUCAAUAGGUUUUUGGGGAACAAGUGGUGUUCGGUUACAUGAAUAAGUUCAUUAGUGGUGAUUUCUGAGAUUUUGAAGCAUCCAUCACCGAAGCAGCAUACACUGUACCCAAUGUGUAGUGUUUUAUCCAUCAUCCCCUCCCACCCUUUCCCCUGAGUCCCCAAAGUCCAUUGUAUUAUUAUUAUUUGUACUUUAAGUUCUGGGAUACAUGUGCAGAAUGUGCAGGUUUUUUACAUAGGUAUACAUGUGCCACAGUGGUUUGCUGCACCCACCAACCUAUCAUCUAGGUUUUAAGCCCCACAUGCAUUAGGUAUUUCUCCUAAUGUUGUCCCUCUCCUAGGCCCCCCAUCCCCUGACAGGCCGCAGUGUGUGAUGUUCCCCCCCUGUGUCCAUGUGUUCUCACUGUUCAGCUCCCACUUAUGAGUGAGAACAUACGGUGUUUGGUUUUCUGUUCCUGUGUUAGUUUGCUGAGAAUGAUGGUUUCCACCUUCAUCCAUGUCCCUGCAAAGGACAUGAACUCAUUCUUUUUUAUGGCUGCAUAGUAUUCCAUAGUGUAUAUGUGCCAUUGUAUUAUUCUUAUGCUUUUACAUCCUCAUAGUUUAGCUCCCACUUAUGAGUGAGAACAUACCAUGUUUGGUUUUCCAUUUCUGAGUCACUUCACUUAGAAUAAGGGUCUCCAAUUCUAUCCAAGUUGUUGUGAAUGCCAUUAUUUCAUUCCUUUUUAUGGCUGAGUAGUAUUCCAUGGUGUGUGUGUGUGUGUGUGUGUGUGUGUGUGUGUGUAUCACAUUUUCUUUAUUCAUUUGUUGAUGGAUGGACAUGUGGGCUGGUUCCAUAUUUUUGCAAUUGCAAAUUGUGCUGCUAUAAACAUGGCAUGUGUAAGUUUCUUAUAAGGACUUUUUCCCUUUGGGUAGAUACCUAGUACUGGGAUUGCUGGAUCAAACAGUGGGUCUACUUUUAGCUCUUUAAGGAAUCACCACACUGUUUUCCAUAAUGGUUGUACUAGUUUAUAUUCCCACCAACGGUGUAAAAGUGUUCCCUUUCUACCACAUCCAUGUCAACAUCUAUUAUUUUUUGAAUUUUGAGUAUAGCCAUUCUUGCAGGAGUGGGGUGGUACCACAUUGUGGUUUUGAUUUGCAUUUCCCUGAUAAUUAGUGAUGUUAAGCAUUUUUCCAUAUGCUUAUUGGCCAUUUGUAUAUCUUUGAGAAUCUCACUUUUUGAUGGGAUUGUUUUUUUCUUGCUGAUUUGUUUGAGCUCUUUGUAGCUUCUGGAUAUUAGUCCUUUGUGAGAUAUAUAGAUUGUGAAGAUUUUCUCCCAUUCUGUGGGUUGCCUGUUAACUGUGCUGAUUAUUUGUUUUGCUGUUGCAGAAGCUUUUUAGUUUAAUUAAGUCCCAUCUAUUUAUCUUUGCUUUUGUUGCAUUUGCAUUUGGGUUCUUGGUCAUGAAGUCUUUGCCUAAGUCAAGGUCUAGAAGGGUUUUUCCAAUGUUAUCUUCUAGAAUUUUUAUGAUUUCAGGUCUUAGAUUUAAGUCUUUGAUCUAUCUUGAGUUGAUUUUUGUACAAGGUGAGAGAUGAGGAUCCAGUUUCAUUCUUCUACAUAUGGCUUGCCAUGUACUUCAGCACCAUUUUUUGAAUAGGGUGUCCUUGCCCAGCUUUAUGUUUUUGUUUGCUUUUUCAAAGAUCAGUUGGCUCUAAGUAUUUGGCUUUAUUUCUGGGGUUUCCUAUUCUAUUCCAUUGCUCUAUAUGCCUAUUUUUAUACCAGUACCAUGCUGUUUUGGUGACUAUGGCCUUAUAGUAUAGUUUGAAGUCGGAUAUGUGAUGCCUCCAGAUUUGUUCUUUUUGCUUAGUUUUGCUUUGGCUUUGCGGGCUCUGUUUUGGUUCCAUAUAAAUUUUAGGAUUUUUUUUCUAGUUCUGUGAAGAAUGAUGGUGGUAUCUUGAUGGGAAUUGCACUGAAUUUGUAGAUUGCUUUUGGCAGUAUGGUCAUUUUCACAAUAUUGAUUCUACCCAUCCGUGAGCAUGGAAUGUGUUUCCAUUUGUUUGUGCCAUCUAUUAUUUCUUUCAGCAGUGUUUUGUAGUUUUCCUUGUAGAGGUCUUUCACUUCCUUGGUUAGCUAUAUUCCUAA